UACGUAGGGUGCGAGCGUUGUCCGGAAUUAUUGGGCGUAAAGAGCUCGUAGGCGGUGUGUCGCGUCGGCCGUGAAAACCUGGGGCUCAACUCUGGGCGUGCGGUCGAUACGGGCAUCACUUGAGUUCGGCAGGGGAGACUGGAAUCCUGGUGUAGCGGUGAAAUGCGCAGAUAAUCAGGAGGAACACCGGUGGCGAAGGCGGGUCUCUGGGCCGAUGACUGACGCUGGAUGUGCGAAAGCGUGGGGAGCAAACAGG
rnacentral:rRNA from 1 species